CAGAUGACUGGGGUGAAGUCGUAACAAGGUAGCCGUAGGAGAACCUGCGGCUGGAUCACCUCCUUUCUAAGGAAUAAAACGGAACC
rnacentral:rRNA from 1 species